rnacentral:rRNA from 1 species
UACGGAGGAGGCAAGCGUUAUCCGGAAUUAUUGGGCGUAAAGCGCGCGUAGGCGGCUUGGCAAGUCGGAUGUGAAAUCCCUCGGCUCAACCAAGGAAGUGCAUCCGAAACUGCUGAGCUUGAGUACUUAAGAGGAUCGCGGAAUUCCUGGUGUAGCGGUGAAAUGCGCAGAUAUCAGGAAGAACACCCGUGGCGAAAGCGGCUCUCUGGAACGGUACUGACGCUGAGACGCGAAAGCGUGGGGAGCAAACAGG